rnacentral:snRNA from 1 species
CCUCAUGUGCAGUGGCAGUAUCAUAACCAAUGAAGUUAAUCUGAGGUAUGAUUAUUGCUAGUUGAAAACUUGAUCUGUAUAUUAGCUGUAUUUUUAAACCCCUGGGAUGUUUUGCUGGAUUGUAUUUGAAUCU